GAGGACGAAGGUGAGGGCCCCCAGGGGGAGGCCUCCUUGGCCAGGGAGCAUGUGGAGAUGGGGCUCUGGAGGCCGAGCAGCAGCAGGCAAGCACGGCCGUGCACGCACAUGUGGGUGUGGACGGGUGGCCAGGGCUGCGGUGGCAAGCGCUUGGCAUGUGCCUCACCGUGUGACCCGUGGAGACCAAGGGCCACCGUGUCCCUCUCCAAGGACGCCCUUUUCCUGGGGGGCCUGGAGCCCUGCUCCGGGGGCACCUGGCCCGCUCUCCUGCCUCCUCUCCUGGGGCCCCGUCCCCCACUGCUGGCCCCCGUGGCCUCUUGGCUACCACUGGCAGACUACCCCAGCCCCCACCUCAGCCUGGUGCUCGGGACCACACCGCCCUUUAUCUUGGGGCACCUGGGCCCUUCCACAUGGCUCACUUACGAGCUUUCCACUGGCUUCUUCAUUGUCUUUAAAAUCGGGGUCCCCAGCAUGGAGCCCCAGGCCCAGGCCCUGAGUGGGAGGGGCUGAGCAGAGCCGCAGAACCUGGGCGCUCCAGUCCCCCACCAGGCCAACCUGCCCUUGCACCUCUGCAGGGGAGUAGCCUCUCUGUGCACACUGGGCACAGAGCCAGCCUGUGCUCUCACAGCAUGACCCUGCUGCCUGGACCUCCCAAAGGCUGGGCACAGUGGACAACACAGCUGCCUGUCUCUGACGACCCUGUGGCCUCUUCCACAGUGCAGUGGACAGAGCGCGAGUGUGAGCUGGCCCUGUGGGCCUUCCGGAAGUGGAAGUGGUACCAGUUCACGUCCCUGCGGGACCUGCUGUGGGGCAAUGCCAUCUUCCUCAAGGAGGCCAAUGCGAUCAGCGUCGAGCUCAAGAAGAAGGUGGGUGCUCACUCUGCUGGCCAGACCCGUCCUGUCGCCUCUCAGCCCAAGGUGGACAGAAGGGCCCUGCCUGAGCUUGGCCCCGGGGUGGGCAGCAGAAGGAGGGUCUGGGACUGGCUGAGAUGGACAGCUUGCCCUUUCUGCUCAGGGAAGGUGUUGGCCAGGAGGGGACACGGGGAGCAGGACCUCUGCAGUGUGGCUAGAAGGCCCAGUGCCCCAUGGGCACCAGUCAAAGGCUCUGAGGUCGGCAGGAAGCCCCACUGGGGACCUGGUUCCACUCACCAGGGACUGACGAUAGGCCAUCUUCCACAGGUCCAGUUCCAGUUUGUCCUCCUCACGGAUACCCUCUACUCCCCACUGCCGCCAGACCUGCUGCCCCCAGAGGCUGCCAGAGACCGGGAGACUCGGCCCUUCCCCCGCACGAUAGUGGCCGUGGAAGUGCAGGACCAGAAGAACGGGGCCACCCACUACUGGACGCUGGAGAAGCUCAGGUGUGGCUGGUGGGCAGCUGGAGUGGACAGUGGGGCGGGCCUUCCUCCAGGACAGAGCCAGGGCCAGGCUCAACCUUCGCACAGGGCACACGGGGGGUCUCCUGUAAUCUGCAUCCUCUUACCAGUGCUGUGGUCAGACCUCAGAAGUAAGAGGAGGCGGACUGAGGCCCACAGAGGCCAAGACGGUCCUUCUGGAAGGGAGGGAAGGGUCAUGCCCCUGGAGGUCCUGUGGGCAGUGGGGCACUGGAUGGGCACAGCCAGGCCUGCAGGGUGGGAUCAGCGUCCCCAGAGCCAGGAGCUUUGGGGCAGCAGGAGGGGACUGGGCUCCUGGCUCCUCCCUUGCACCCUCCCACAGCAGCUGCACCACCCAGGAGCCGCUGGCCCUGUGGCUCGGCUUCUGUGGCCUGCGGACUCACUGUGCUUUGUGCUUGUUCUUCCUCUAUGAAAGGUGACCGCGUGAAAACGCGGGGGCAGAUGCCAUUGAAGGCAGAGCAGACUGUCCCUGCAGCUGCUAGGAGGGGACCCAGGGCACGGGGGGAGGCACCAGGGCUGGCCAAAGCAGGAAGGCCAGAGCUUCUGACCGCCUCCUGGCCUGGUGACGUGGGACAGAGGGAAUGUUGGCUUGGCCUGUGGGAAACCAGGGAGGGAGGAGGUCAGGGGCACUCCGAGUCAUUCAUUUGUGUGUGACAGGUGGGCUCCAGGAACCGCUAGGCUCGGGGUGGGAGGUGGCAGAGGGCUCUCCCCACCAGAAAGUCCCCAAAGUGUCCAAACAUCAGAACAUGGAAGACCAAUCAUGGGAUCCACACUGUCCUCUCUUGUAUAGCUCACACACACGUAUACACACAUACAACAGGUGGACACAGACACACACACACUGAUACGCACACUGGUCCACACACACAAGACACGUACACACAGUGGUAGACUCUGGUAGAUACACGCACAUGCUGGUACACAGUGGUAGACACACACACGGGUAGAUGCACCAGUACUCAUACUCUGAUACACUGGUAGACACACAUACACACAUCAGCACAUGCACUGGUACACACUGCACACACACAAUGGUAGAUACACAAUCUGGCACACUCCCAUGCACCCUGGCAGACACACACACACACACACACAGGGGUCCACACAUGAGCACCCUGCAGACCUCCGGGCUCCAUGCUCAGGGUGCCUGCCCCAGGCAGGGGUGUCCCCUGGGAGUGGGUGUGGUCCUGAGCACUGAGCCUGGGCUCUGCCCAGCACUGCCGCUCACCUGAGCAUGAUCUCGAAGACAUUUCCUUAGUCCUCCCUGCCCCGUCCCUGCCUCUCCUCCAGCCGCUGCCCAUGGGGGUCCCUGCACCCCUCAGGCCAGCUGCAGGCUUGUGGGCUCAGGAGGGUGAGUCUGCCUGUCUAACUGCAAGUGCGUCUCCCGAUUGGCCAGUUCCGAGGAUCUGGGGGGUUUCUGUGCCAGGCCCACGGUGGCUGGCCCCGGCCCACACAGUGUGCUGUGCCCCACAGGCAGCGCCUGGACCUGAUGCGCGAGAUGUACGACAGGGCCGCGGAGGUGCCCUCCAGCGUGGUGGAGGACUGCGACAACGUGGUGACCGGUGGAGACCCCUUCUAUGACCGCUUCCCCUGGUUCCGGCUGGUGGGCAGGUGGGCACCUCCUCCUUGCCCUGGCACAGCAUGUGAUAGCGAGAGGGCAGUGGGAAGAGCGGCCUCCUCCCAGGCCUGGACCCCACUGGUCCUGGCCCUAACACAAGGAGGGAGCUCUGCUCCGCCUUGUUCUGCCCCACCAAGGCCCCCGUCCCCGGCCCCGCCACUCCUCACCACAUACCUGUGGGCCGCAACCUCAGGGCAUGAGCUGGGUCUCACCAUUGCCACCCUGCCCAGUCUGUGUGAGACUCCCCAGCAGCUGGGGCCUUGGGCCGGUGCCCUGUGGGGUGAGAACGCAGAGGCAGGGUUGUGCCCCCAAGCCCUAGAGGCCAUAGAGGCCACCACCUCCUUCCUGGUCUCUGGUCUGGGGUCUGUGCCCAGCCUCUGACCCCACACGACAGUGGCAUUCUGAGGUCUUCACAAUGGCCUUGGGGAUGCCUGGCUAGGACCCCUGUUCUCCAUCACACCGUUGGUGCCUUCCAGAACCUUCUGGAGCCUUCCAGCUGACCACACGUGUGGUUUGCUUCAAGCCUGGGGCUGGGGUGGGAUUCUGGUCCUCCUGUCUUUAAAGCGGCCUUCUCGGUGGUGCGUGUGCUGGGUUGGGUUCACACAGAAGCGUGCCCCGGCCGCCGCCUCCCGCGGGUAGCUGGUGUUAACCUCUCUCUGUCUUGUCGUACUAACCUCAGUCCAGUCAUCUCUGGCUGCAACAGCUACCCUCUUCUCAACACAUGCAUGAGCGAGCGCAUGGCUGGUCUCACCCCCUCCCCCACCUUCUCGAGCCCCGACUCCGACGCCACCGAGCCUGCCGAGGAGCAGAGCGUGGGGGAGGAGGAGGAGGAGGAGGAGGAGGAGGAGGAGGAGGACCUGGAGGACGACGUCUUUCCGGAGCACACGCUGUGCGACGGCCGGGACCCGUUUUACGACCGGCCCCCCCUGUUCAGUUUAGUAGGAAGGUUGGUGAGGCUGCGCAGAGCAUGCUGGGGAGGAACCAGCUCUUUUGCACAGGAGCACUGCUGUGGGCACGAUCGGGCGUCAGGGUGUGACCCCGGACCCUCCCAGCCAAGGCAGGCUGAGGGGCUGGCCUUCCGAGGCAGGGCCUGAGGGAGCUGGGGCUCCCGCGGCGGCCCCGUGGGUACUCCCCUCCUGGAGAUGAAUGCUCUGGCCGAGUGGUAUGGGGUCGGGGUCCAGCUAGGGAAGAAGCAGCCCUGGAGCACGCAGGGUGGCCACCGGCCCAUGGCACUGGAUCCUGUAGGUGGAACUGCUUCUACGGAGGCUGCAGGAAACCUGGGACCUGGCCGUGGCUCUGGCCCUGGUGCCCAGGUUCUACCCUAUGAGUCUCUGUGCAGGGGACUGGGGUGAGAGGUGAGGAAGGGGCACCCCAAGUGGAGGGGUGAGAGGUGAGGAAGGGGCACCCCAAGUGGAGCCAGCUCAUCCCACUGAGGCGGCUUCCGUCUCUCCAAAGAGAAGGCAGUUCCCUGUGUGCAUCCAGCGCCACUCUGUUCUGGGGAAAGGAGCAGGACUUGGGGGUCAGCCUAGGGCAGGCAAGAGCCCCCUCUACUGCUCCACAUGAGGGGCCUGGCAGGCCCUGCCUCUGUGCAGAGGUGAGGGUGUUCUCCCAGGCUGUCACAGGGAGAGAUGGACCCGUGGCCCAGGGCCCUCUGGGCACCUGCCCUUUGCAGCAGGAGCUGGUCAUUAACAGCCCCCAGGUGUAGGAGUGGCCAAGGUCAGGAGGUGGAACAGAGGCUGUGGGGAAGCCCAGACCUGGGCAGACAUCCCGCCUGCAGGUGGACCUGGCACCCACUGUUCAUUCUGUUCUCAUGGAGGGAUGGAGACAGGAGAAGGCAGGUCCAGCAGCCUAGUGCCGCUGUCAGACGCUUGGCUCCUGACGGGAACAAAGUGCUCCCACACGAAAAGGUGUCCGUCAGCUUCAGCAGCUUUUCUUGAAGUUAGAUGGUUUCCUGGGGCCAGGCAUUUCCAGAAAACUUGACCCGCAGGCUGGGGGCAGCCCCUGCAGAUCAGGAGAUUGGCUGGGCUCCCAGGUGGAGGAGAUGGCAGGAAAGCCCCCUCCCCUGUGGAGGCAGCCGGUCCCCAUGGCGCCUGCCAUGGACUUGCUCUGAUUGGUUUUCCCUGACUGUCACCAGGCUGGCAUCAGGAGAUGAGCCAGACACAAGUAGGUGAUGUCCCCCCAGAUGUCCGAGCCUGGACCUCACUCUGCUGGGCCCGGCCGACUCCAGGCAGGUUCCCCUCGCCAAGCCCCAGGCUCUAGGGCCAGACCUCAGCUCCUGCUGGGGUUGGGGAGUGGCUCCGGGUGUCAGGUAGCCAGGGAUCAGGGCGUGCAGGGACAAGAAUAGGGGAGAAAUGGGGUGUGGGCCCUGCAGUCUCAGCAGAAAAGAGCUGGGUCCUUCCAACGUUUUUCCCCUCUUGUGGAUUUGAGAUUUUACAAAACUGCCAAACGGAACAAAAGUUGUCCUUGAGAGGCCUGGCCCCCUGUGUCACAGGAGGUCGUGACAGGCUUCAUUUGGAAUCAUCCCCAUCUUUGGGUUUGGCAAGAAUUGGCUUCUCCCGCUCAGCAGCUAAGCAGGCCCAGCCCUGGGAAGGACCCCACCGUUGAUUUUCCUUUGAUCCUUCUGGUAGCUGCUGGCUCUCUCUCCAAAGCUUAAGCAAAAUUGGGUGGCCCACUCUGGUCCCCUAUGGAAAGGCGUCCCUAGGUCCCAGCAUGCGUCUUGCACCUCACCAAUCUGUGGUUAGCGCUGCCUCCUCCCUCCGCUCGCCACUCGGCUCCCUCCUCCCUCCCCGCCUCUCCUCUCUGUUUCAGUCUGCUUCAAGGUGCUCUUGCCUCUUGCCAGAGCCAGGGGCCUCUCCCCAUGUCCAGGGUCAGGUCCCUGGGGGCUCUGCCUGUGGAGGUUGUGCUGCCCAGUGACCUGGGGAAGCCAUUGUGUUGUUGUCCACAGUCCAGGCUGAGGAAGUGGGCCUGAGGCCUCUGCUUCCCCUGGAGGCCUAGGUGCCUCCAGGAGAGGGGGACACAGACAGUGGGUAAGAUGGCACUGCAGACAGGGCUGGGCAGGAGCCUAGUUCCUGGGCAGUGCUGGGGGAGGGGGACGAGCCCAGGCUCCAGGGCAGUAUCCAGCACUAGGUGAUAAUGCUGAGCCAGCGAGAGGCAGGUGUCAGCUCUGUGCACCCCGGGCCCCCUCAGCACCCACUCCAGGGGCGCUGUGCCAGGCCCCUCAGCCCACCUUGCCAGUGUACCUGUGGACGGUGUCUCCAGGCCCUGAGGGCAGCAGGCUGUGCAGGUGGGUGUAGCAGAGCCGUGCUGUCAGGGUCAGGACUGGGGGAGUUGUCUGGUCCCCAGAGUACCUGGCACUACUGUUGGGUUGCCUGGCACCAGGAGGGCUGAUGAGACCAGGCCUGGAGAACAGUCCCUGCUGGACAGAAGCCCAAGGCCCCUGACGUGGGUCCCUGGAGUCCGGCACCACCUGGUCCCAUUGCCCAAACUCUGGGUGCAUGCGCUGGAUGGGGUCCCCAUGGGAGCAGGGACAGGGGUCUUCAAGACUCAAUUUGUGGCCCCUCAAGGCUGGUGCUGCCACUGGGGGUGGUUAAUGCCACUAGGGGUCUGAGUGGGUCCAUCACCAUCUCCAGGUGGACUGGCAGGGGUCUGUGGGUUGGAGGGAAGAGCCACAGAUGCCCCUUUGCAUUCUCCAACACUGACACCGGAGCUAUCACUGGGUCCUCAGACUUCUACCAGGGUAUCCCUCAGAAUGUCCAGAACGGGUCAAGGGCUAGAGAAGAGGGAGGCUUUGGCCACAGAUCCCAGUGGCCCUUUGAUGAUUAACCUCUGGGCCUCCAACCAAGAGGUCCCUACAGGCUCUACCCCACAGCCCCUCCCUCGGGGGCAUUGUGUGGCUGCAUCUCCCAUGAGGACUGUGGUGGGUGCUACCAUGUUGGGCUUUCUCCAUAGACAGGAGCGGGUUCUGAAAGGCCAGGAUCUGGCUGUGCUGACCGAGUAGGGAGGUGGGGGACCUGGAGGGCCUGGUUGGGAGCUGUCAGGGACCUGCAGGUCCCAGCCCUGACUCCACAGUCCACAGGUCAUGCCUGCCAGCUCAGGCCUCGCUCUACUUUGGUGCCCCUAGAGAGAGGCGCAGCCAGCAAGGGGGAUGCGCUGCUACGUGGGCCCCAUCUGGCCACUGGCCUUCCAGGUGUCGGGAGCCAGCUCUCCAGCGUCCUACCUGCUCUUAGGGUGUUUGCCCUGUGCUUCAGAGACCUGCUGGGGCCGUUAUUCCUUGGGUCUUUGAUUUAUGCCUAGGGGACUUAAAGGGCCCCCAUGUGACUUCUGGGAACCUGAGCCAACAGGUUGACAUGUAGCAGACCCUCCCCCCCAGCCCAGGAGGUGCAGUGGUUUUCUGGCAGGUUCCUGUGAGCCCCCCCCAGUGUCCAAAUCCUGAGCCGGUGCCACCAGGACCUCCCCACUCCUCUUCUGGAUGCCCAGUCAGCUCUACCUGGAAAGGAGGGCAGGUGGCUGAGUGGGUAGGUUCUGGGCUAAAAGCAGAGCUGAGCUGAUUGUUCUCACCCCAGUGUGACUCACCUGGCCCUUCCUGAUCAAGGUGACUCCUUGGAGUGCCCCCCAGGAGGUGCUCCCAUUCCUAGGAGGAUGCCCCCUGGAGCAUGAUCCUGUUGCUAGGAAGGUGCUCCACCCAGGAGAUGCUCCUGUUCCUGGGAGGGUGCUCCACCCAGGAGGUGCUCCUGUUCCUAGGAGGGUGCUCCACCCAUGAGGUGCUCCUGUUCCUGGGAGGGUGCUCCACCCAGGAGAUGCUCCUGUUCCUGGGAGGGUGCUCCACCCAGGAGGUGCUCCUGUUCCUGGGAGGGUGCUCCACCCAGGAGGUGCUCCUGUUCCUGGGAGGGUGCUCCACCCAGGAGGUGCUCCUGUUCCUGGGAGGGUGCUCCACCCAGGAGGUGCUCCUGUUCCUGGGAGGGUGCUCCACCCAGGAGGUGCUCCUGUUCCUAGAAGGGUGCUCCAUCCAGGAGGGGCCCCUGAACAGUGGGGGCGUUCUCCACAGCAGCCUACCCACCUGGCUGGGUGGCACAGGGUCCUCCAGGGUCUUCUCCAUCCUGGCUGCCUUUGUGACCCUACAUGUUGGCUAGUUCAGGGCAUGCAGAAGCCACCCCAGUGACCAUGUCCUCUGCCCAGGUCAGUCCUGGCACCAGCUGGGGCAGCUAACUGCUGGCUGGGAACAGAGGCUCUUGGAGCUCUGGGUCACUAACGGGUCAGGUGGGGUUGUGCGUGGGUCUUGGGUGUCCUCAGGGCACUGGCCAGCCACCCUGGGCACUGGCUGACUCUGAGUAGCUCUCACCCACCACAGGCUGCAUUGUGGGAGGGGCUCGGGAGGAUGGAGCCACCAGGCUGAGGCCCGUGAGCAGCAGGGCUGGCCAGGGAAGGGACGUCACAGCAGCUGCGCUGCACCGACCCACCAGGUCCUCCAGUCCUUGAAGCAGGCUGAAACACCCCCCCCACCUGUUCUCUUCUCGGACGGCCACACCUGGGCUCUGCUGGGCUGUGCCCUCUGCUCACCGAGGUCCACUCCCUGGCCCCCUCGUGCCUCUCCUGUCUCAUCAGCACUGCAGACCCCACGACCCCUGCCCGGCGCCUCGCUCCCACACCCUGGCUGCCCCGCGGCUUGGCUCUGCUUCGCAGCUUCUUGUCAUGUUGUCCUCGGCCGUGCUGUCACUGCUGCCACUCAGAGCAUGGGGGGUGGCCCCUGAUCGCGGCCUCUGCUCCCCAGGGCCUUCGUCUACCUGAGCAACCUGCUGUACCCCGUGCCUCUGGUGCACCGCGUGGCCAUCGUGAGCGAGAAGGGCGAGGUGAAGGGCUUCCUCCGCGUGGCCGUCCAGGCCAUCUCAGGUGCGUGUGGGCGGCACACUGGGCCAGAGCCCGGGCUGGCUCUGCUUGUGCCGGACGCUGAGGGCGGAGACGGGCCUGUGGACAUCGUGUGGGCAAGGACCAGCCUCACCUGGGCUGCCCACGGUGGGGCCUGGAGCACUCCCCUGGGCCCAGCUCUUGGCUCUGGCCUCCUAGACUCCCCUCUGCUGACCAGGGAUUUGGGCUAAGCCCAGGGAGGCCUGAGCCUGCCCCAUCAGGCGGCCCAGAGGGACCCAGAGACCCUUGGCUCCCUCCCUGCAGCCAGGCCACCCCAUCCACCCACAGGCUCCACAACCACAGGAGGGCCUGCAAACAGAGUCCCUGCCCACCUCUGCCUCUCCAGCCUCCUAGAUCCCCGCCCCUCAGACCCUCCCUCAUGUGGGCCUGAAAAGGCAAGUCCCUCACCCUCAGAGGCAAGACAUUCCCACUGGCCAGCCACGGAAGCUCUGGGCCCUGGUGGCUUCCUUGUAUAUGGGGCCAGGUUUUAACGCAUCCCACCUGAGAAUGUUGCCAGACCAGGCGAGGACUUGGGUAAAGUGUGGCUGACCAGGGGUCUUCAGGUCAGAGGUGCCAGGUGUGAUGGUGGCUCCCGGGCUGCCUUCUCAGCGGGCACAGGGGACUGCUCAGGCCCCACCCAGGGCACCUUCCAGUCCUGCAGUAUGGACCUCAUCCCACAGGGAACCCUGGGGAGACAGUGGGCCGACAAAAGGCAUCUCUCAGCUGCUCACCUCCCCAGGUGCUCAUAUCCCCAGGUGCUCACCUCCCCAGGUACUCAUUUCCUCAAAUGCUCACCUCCCCAAGUGCUCACCUCCCCCAGGUGCUCACUUCCCCAGAUGCUCAUCUCCUUCAGUGCUUACCUCCCCAGGUGCUUAUCUCCCCAAGUGCUCACCUCCCCAGAUGCUCAUCUCCUCCAGUGCUUACCUCCCCAGGCGCUCACCUCCCCAGGUGCUCAUCUCCUUCAGUGCUUACCUCCCCAGGUGCUCACCUCCCCAGGUGCUCAUCUCCUUCAGUGCUUACCUCCCCAGGUGCUCACCUCCCCAGGUGCUCACCUCCCCAGGUGCUCAUCUCCUCCAGUGCUCACCUCCCCAGGUGCUCACCUCCCCAAAUGCUCAUUUCCACUUGAUCCUCAUCUUCCCAAAUGCUCAUCUCCCCUAGGUGCUCAUCUCCCCAGGUGUUUACCUCCCCGGGUGCUCACUUCCCUAGUUGCUCACCUCUCUGGGUGCUCAUCUCCCCAGGUGUUUACCUCCCUGGGUGCUCAACUCUCCGGGUGCUCACUUCCCUAGUUGCUCACCUCUCUGGGUGGUCAUCUCUCCAGGUGUUUACCUCCUCAGGUGCUUUUCUCCCCAGGUGCUCAUUUCCCCCAGGUGUUCACCUCCCAGGUACUCACCUCUGCCAGAUGCUCACCUUCCCAGGUGCUCUCCCACCCAGGUCUCCUAGGUGCUCAGUUCCCCCAGGUGCUCACCUCCCCAGGUGCUCAUAUUCUUUACCCUUGGAAGUUUCAACCGCACUCAGAUGUCGAGUCUCCUGGCCCUAUAUCUCUUCCACCUGUGUGUUAACGUGACUGAUAAUCUAGCCCUAUUAGCAGUAAAAACUAGUAGCAUCUAAGUGCUCCCCCAGUACCUCUUACCAUUCCAGGUCCCCCACUAUUGUUACAUAAAUGCAAGGCGCUCACAGUGACCCAUGGUACUGAAACUUCAGGACCCAGGGGGCAAGCCUGGAGUGCAGGGAGGGGCCAGAAAACAGGUCCCCCUCCUGCCAGGCCCCUCUGUAGGAAAGUGCCGUGUUGGCACAACCCCCUUGCUCAGGGAUGCUGGGAGUGUCCGGUGCCACCCACUGCCCCGAAGAAGCUGCUCCCAUCCCCCCAGGCCUCCAUCCGCGCGUCUGCCCCACUAGUUCCUGUCCUUACUGAGCACAGCCAAGCUGGCUACUUCCUGCCACUGUCACCUGCUGAGAUGCGGCCACACCAGAGGCCAUGGGGCUGGCCCACUCAGUGGGGGGCCACUGUUGUCCUGCCUGCCCUUGGUGGGAGGGGUCCUCGUGGAAGUUGGUGAAGGACCUGAGCCCGGAGCUUCAUCUCUGAGAGAAGGGUCACUUCUGCGUCAUCACCCUUCACCCUGUGGGCUUCCCCACUUCCUGGACAAGGAAAGAUUGUUAGGAAGGUGUAGGGUGCCUUGAGCCCAGGUCUGUCUCCAGGUCACACUUGGGAAACGAGGCUGAAACAGGGUCCUGACCUGUGCAAAAGGCCCUACCGCGGGCUCACUGUAUUCUGAGUGCUGCCUAAUAUUGGCUUAUGUGAGGCUGCGGGCACUUAUGAAGGCAGGUGCCUGACGUGGUGGGCACAGAAGUCACCUGUGCCCCACCCCUGCAGCCAUGGCAAAGGUCAGCCUAUCUGCUGAGCCCCACUGUGCCCUGGGCCAUGGCAGAACAGAGCUGUGCGGCUUUGGGCCAGCGAUGGAGAGGAGGGCACCAUGAUAGUCCCCUGGGCCUGAACUGGACUGAGGGAGGUUAUGGGGCCUGGGCAGUCAGCUGCCUUGGGGUCUGGAGGCCAUCAGAAGCCAGGUCAGGGUUUGGGGAAUUGGGUGGGGCCUCUGAGGGUCCAGAUGGCUGCUAUGGGUGGCUUGCACGAGUGGUGGCAUGAUUCUACCUGAGCAUCUGGGUGGGGCCAUGGUUAGGUUUUGACAAUGUAGUUUGUGGUGACAAGGACACAGCCACAUGCGGGAUGCUGGGGCAGCUCCUGGUCAGUGUGCCCUGGACGCCACCCUGGUUGUUACUGAACUGUGGUUGGUGACGUUGGCUGUCCCUAGAGCAGUGAGUCUGGCCGCAGGCCCUCUGUCUGGCUGUGCCCACCAUGGGGACCAGCUGGACCCAGACACCUCUUUGGCUCCUCUUGCAGCUGAUGAAGAGGCCCCUGAUUACGGCUCU
rnacentral:lncRNA from 1 species